UGCGGAGGGAUCAUUGCUGGAACGCGCCCCAGGCGCACCCAGAAACCCUUUGUGAACUUAUACCUUACUGUUGCCUCGGCGCAUGCCGGCCCCCUCGGGGGCCCCCUGGAGACAGGGAGCGGGCACGCCGGCGGCCAAGUUAACUCUUGUUUUUACAAUGAAACUCUGAGAAAAAAACACAAAUGAAUCAAA
rnacentral:misc_RNA from 1 species